UCGAGAGAAAGAAGGUGUGAGUUUUGCCACCGCCGCAUUUGUCGUGAAUUAUUCAGUGUUGCAGUUUAUGAAAUAGUGCUGUUUAUCUUGUUCGCAUCGCGCCGCGGCAGUGGCGACUUCCUCUCCAAGUUUUUAUGAAUAAUUUCAUCGCUCAUUCCACGCAAGAACACAAUCGACGCGCGAGAGUCAGUCAGGCGGGGUGAUGCAUCAAAUUAUCGGGCAAUAAAAGCGAGCUGCCGGAGCAAAUGUACAGCGAGUCAGAUGGGCCAAGAUAAUAAUUCGACUCGCAGAGAGAGGCAGCAGCCAAAUGGACGCCUCUCUCGGCUAAUGUAGGAGGAGGCGGAGGGAGAGGUGGAGGCGGCCGAAAAAUCCAAUUGCGAUCACACUCACUUAGCGAAUUUAUUUCCCUGCUCCUAAUUUUGCUGCUCGACGCUGGAUGAGAAUCAAGUUGCGUCAAAUUUAACAGCAUUUUUUUUUUAAAUAUACUU